AGUGAACGCUGGCGGUAGGCCUAACACAUGCAAGUCGAACGGCAGCACAGUAAGAGCUUGCUCUUACGGGUGGCGAGUGGCGGACGGGUGAGGAAUACAUCGGAAUCUACUUUUUCGUGGGGGAUAACGUAGGGAAACUUACGCUAAUACCGCAUACGACCUACGGGUGAAAGCAGGGGAUCUUCGGACCUUGCGCGAUUGAAUGAGCCGAUGUCGGAUUAGCUAGUUGGCGGGGUAAAGGCCCACCAAGGCGACGAUCCGUAGCUGGUCUGAGAGGAUGAUAGGACACACUGGAACUGAGACACGGUCCAGACUCCUACGGGAGGCAGCAGUGGGGAAUAUUGGACAAUGGGCGCAAGCCUGAUCCAGCCAUACCGCGUGGGUGAAGAAGGCCUUCGGGUUGGAAAGCCGUUUUGUUGGGAAAGAAAAGCAGCAGGUUAAUACCCCGCUGUUCUGACGGUACCCAAAGAAUAAGCACCGGCUAACUUCGUG
rnacentral:rRNA from 1 species